AAUUGCUUGCAUAACUCCAAGAGGCAAACAGGAAGCUGGAGCUUGCACACAUUCGUAAGCUUUCUAGAGCGGGCAGGUCCCUCUGUGCCUUUCCAGCUCCUUCCCAAACCCAUCGCCACACCCAUUCUGCAGGGCAGCCCCAAGAGGAAGAGCAAGCCCAAGCUUCACACCGGAGCCUCACCCAGACUCAGCUCCCAGCUGCCUGACUCUCCCAGACUACAGGUUAGCGGAGACAGAUAAGAAACAAGCCUGAUGGGACGUUGGCAGACUUCCCCGCUGCCAGCCGAGAACGACUACAGGCCACGGGCUGCUCAGGCCUGGAGAACGUGAUGGAAUGGUUAGCAAGGGGCAGACGGUCCACUCCAGCAGCCGAUUGUCUCCAGCCAUAAAGCCCUCCUGACUUAGGUCCCAGUCGCGUCCACUUGCAAUUCACCUUGAAAAUGGAGCAAAGAGAACAGAGAGCGAAGGCAGCCCUACCACCAGCCAACAGUACCUUUGGAACAUGGACCUCACUACAGAAAAAGUGGGCAAACGGUCCUGGUAACAAGACCAGGCCAGACCAGACCAUCUGCUGCCUAGAACAGAGAUGUGCUCUUGAACCUGGCAGCUAGCUCAGGGCCAAGACUCCAGCGAGUGGCAGGAAUGUACCACUUCUUAAAUACACAGAUGCACUCCCUGGGCAGUAUCCAAGGGUCUUCUGAAAAUAGGAAGAACCUGUUUCUGGAAGCUGCUGUUUGACCUGAGUAAUUUCUUGGAGCCUUCUUGCUCAUGUGAUGACCAGUGGGUUGAUCUGAAUUCAGUCUAAGGGAGAACCAGAGAGAAAGAGAAAAGGAAAGACAGAGACAGAGAGGCUGAAACGUAUGGUGGAAUUUAAGAGAACAUGUUGGAGCUUAUGGAUUUUUUAACAAAAUAAAUCAAGUAGAUUGCCACAAACAAAAAAAAAAAAUGUUAUUUUGGAACAAUAUCAGGUUCACUGGGUAAGAGUUCUCCUGUUCUAGUGCUUAAAAUGUGUGUGGGGUGGGGCUCAGGGGGUUGACAAAUUGGGUGAUACUGCUUAAAACUGCUCCUGGGUCCCUGUGGUUGUGCAACAUUUCACCACCUUUCCUCUUUUGUGCAUCACCGCAGCCUACAGCUACACCACAGCUACACCACAGCCAGGCGAGAAACAGUACCCUCAUUUUUCAGAGGAAGCAACAGAAUCUCAAAAAAGUUAAGUAACUUCCCAGAAGUCAUAUGAGAGGAUAGACAAAACAAGAAUUCAAAAAUGAUCAUCCUAACUUCAAUUCAUUUUUAAAUUUUCUUAUAUCUGUUCUACCCAGUUCAGCCUCCCAGAGUUACUCUGUAAAAGGCCAUUCCAAAGUCUACUUAAACUACAACUCCAACCCAUCAUUCCAUGGAGGCCUAGAUUCAAGAUGUUUAAAGAAAUGAGUUAUAUGUAAAAAACCAAAGGACAGCCUCAAAGGCAGCUCUGAAGGUGGCACACCAAGAAUCUGGGGACCUGAGUGUCAAAAUUGCUGCUAAUACAUCCCAUGACUUCCAGUAGUUCACUAAUUCUGUGUCCUUUUAUUUCCUCUAAGGACGGUAGAACCAACAACCUACCUAUAUCUCUUAAAUUUACCAUCGUUAUAGGCACUAAUAUCACUUCAAUGUCUUCAAGAAACAAAUCUAACCAAAACACCAUUAUUAUCAUAAACCAUAUUAUAGUAAUGAGGACUGUUGCCAUUUAUUCUGAUUUUCCUUUUUCUAGACACCAUGGUAGGACUGAACUCAGCUAUAAGUCUAUCUUCCAGGUAAAAGAUUUAAGAACUAGCACAACUUGUUACAUCCUUUACCCUGAUACCAAAGGUACAAGAGGACAGGUUGCAACUGAGUCUCCAACAGCUAAAUCUUCCAGUGACCAUGGUGAGUGGAGCCUCCCUCCUGGCCCACAAGAAGCAUGAACAAGAAGUCAGAGAUGUUUGGUGUCAUUUGUUACAACAACAUAACCUCAUAACACUGAUGGAUACAAAUCAUACAGAAAGUCUGUUUCUGGGGAGGAGUAACCAGGGAAAGCUGGUCAGAAUGUAAAGAAAUGAAAUGAAGAAGAUCUACUGAGAGAAGAAAUAUUUAUUAGGCAUCUCCUUUUACAAUAAGGUGUGCAAGUGUGCUAGACACAUUAUUCUUCCUGAACUGGGAAAUCCAAAAGGGCUAUUUUAUAUCAUAAUGAUAAAUGCUGCUCUUUCAAGGAGUUGAUUGAAAUUAUUAAAAUAUUUGCCUUUAACAGAUAUUUUUCACUACCAAAAUCUGUUGAUAGUCUAGGAGAAACACUCCCCUCUCCAGAUUGCCUACAGAUCUAUUUCUCAAGUAAAUCUGUUUAGAAGUUUUCAUUCUCUUUAGUUUUCCACAGUUGUUCAUUUAUAAAACUGUGGCUACACUUAGAAGAGAAAAGGUUUUAAUCUAGAAGUAUUAAAAUAUAUCAAGGUCAUGAGAAUUUUCAUAGACUUCUGCUAAAGGCUAAUGUGAACAAGAUUUAAAAAAAAAAAAAUUGCCCUCCCUGCAAGGAAUGAGUCUUUAUUGCCACUCUGAGCCAAAUAAAUAAACAAGUUUGUAAUUUCCUCUUUUAACAGAGUUUGCAUAAACUUUGGAUUUGUUUAUGGGCAAAACAAUUGUCCACUGUAACGGGCUCAUCCUCGGCAUGGCUUUAUUUCCCUUCUCACCUCCUCUGCCCUUCGCUUCUUGCUGUCCUGAGGUUCUCUUGUUGUGGGUAGUGAUUUUCCACCACAAACAACUUAACAGCAUAAGGCAUAAGGCCUUAGAAAAACCUUUUUUAGGAGAUUUGAAAAGAAAAACAUUGUGUGAAAGAUGCCACACUCUAUAAUCCCAUGGCUACUUUUUCAAUUUUUUUUUCAGUUUUUAUCAUUGUUUAUAAAAUUGGAGUUUGG